rnacentral:lncRNA from 1 species
CUGCCUGAGAAAUUAUUCCAUGAACUGAAGUUUAACUGAAGUGGUUAUGAUUCAUCACAGAGGACCCAUAAUAAAAACAUAGUGAGUAUUUUUCUGAGGCUUUUCAUAACCAUGAAUCAAUGACACAAGUUCUGGAAUUUAACUUUGAAUGUGGCUUCAAAUUCUAGAGGACAAGAAGUGUAAGUGAACUUUGUAGCGCCCUUGGUGUUGUGUUGGUUUGUUUUCUCAUGCUCAUCAAUAAUCCACAGAAAGAAAAAUAACAAAUCUCACUUUGCUGUUGUGUUGAGUUGUUGCCUCUUAUAAAGUCAUUACCCAAAAGUAAAUGGAGAAUAUAAGAUAAUUGGUCUAAAUUUAUUUUAAACUGUUAUUUUUUAUAAGGCCAAACCAAAUGUGAUGAAAAUGAUAAGAUUUUAAAACAAUUAAAUGAAAUAUGGAAAUGGGAAGACCAUCUUACUUCGGUUUCAGAACAUCCUAGUAAAAUGGCUAAGUAUGUAGAGGCAUGUUUAUUGUGGUUUCA